CACGUAGGGGGCAAGCGUUGUCCGGAUUUAUUGGGCGUAAAGAGCUCGUAGGCUGUUCGAUAAGUCGGGUGUGAAACCUCCAGGCUCAACCUGGAGACGCCACCCGAUACUGUCAUGACUAGAGUCCGGUAGGGGAGCGUGGAAUUCCUGGUGUAGCGGUGAAAAUGCGUAGAUAUGUGGAGGAAUACCGGUGGCGAAGGCGGCCUCCUGGCUUAAUACUGACGCUGAGGUGCGAAAGCGUGGGGGAUCAAACAGG
rnacentral:rRNA from 1 species